UGGGGAAUAUUGCACAAUGGGCGCAAGCCUGAUGCAGCCAUGCCGCGUGUAUGAAGAAGGCCUUCGGGUUGUAAAGUACUUUCAGCGAGGAGGAAGGCGUUGUGGUUAAUAACCGCAACGAUUGACGUUACUCGCAGAAGAAGCACCGGCUAACUCCGUGCCAGCAGCCGCGGUAAUACGGAGGGUGCAAGCGUUAAUCGGAAUUACUGGGCGUAAAGCGCACGCAGGCGGUCUGUCAAGUCGGAUGUGAAAUCCCCGGGCUCAACCUGGGAACUGCAUCCGAAACUGGCAGGCUAGAGUCUUGUAGAGGGGGGUAGAAUUCCAGGUGUAGCGGUGAAAUGCAUAGAGAUCUGGAGGAAUACCGGUGGCGAAGGCGGCCCCCUGGACAAAGACUGACGCUCAGGUGCGAAAGCGUGGGGAGCAAACA
rnacentral:rRNA from 1 species